CCUACGGGAGGCAGCAGUGAGGAAUAUUGGGCAAUGGACGAGAGUCUGAACCAGCCAAGUAGCGUGAAGGAUGACUGCCCUAUGGGUUGUAAACUUCUUUUAUAUGGGAAUAAAAUGUUCCACGUGUGGGAUUUUGUAUGUACCCUAUGAAUAAGGAUCGGCUAACUCCGUGCCAGCAGCCGCGGUAAUACGGAGGAUCCGAGCGUUAUCCGGAUUUAUUGGGGUUAAGGGGAGCGUAGGUGGAUUGUUAAGUCAGUUGUGAAAGUUUGCGGCUCAACCGUAAAAUUGCAGUUGAAACUGGCAGUCUUGAGUACAGUAGAGGUGGGCGGAAUUCGUGGUGUAGCGGUGAAAUGCUUAGAUAUCACGAAGAACUCCGAUUGCGAAGGCAGUUCACUGGACUGCAACUGACACUGAGGCUCGAAAGUGUGGGUAUCAAACAGGAUUAGAUACCCGUGUAGUC
rnacentral:rRNA from 1 species